GUGGGGAAUUUUGCGCAAUGGGCGAAAGCCUGACGCAGCGACGCCGCGUGGAGGAUGAAGGUCUUCGGAUUGUAAACUCCUUUUGUAGGGAAAGAUAAUGACGGUACCCUACGAAUAAGCCACGGCUAACUCUGUGCCAGCAGCCGCGGUAAGACAGAGGUGGCAAGCGUUGUUCGGAAUUACUGGGCUUAAAGGGCGCGUAGGUGUCCUGGCAAGUCAGAUGUGGAAUCUUUCUGCUUAACGGAAAAAUUGCAUUUGAAACUGCCGGGAUUGAGUCAGACAGGGGAUGGCGGAAUUCCUGGUGUAGCGGUGAAAUGCGUAGAUAUCAGGAGGAAGGCCUGUGGUGAAGACGGCCAUCUGGGUCUGAACUGACACUGAGGCGCGAAAGCGUGGGUAGCAAACAGGAUUAGAUACCCCAGUAGUCC
rnacentral:rRNA from 1 species